rnacentral:lncRNA from 8 species
GCCUAAUCGCAAGAUAUUGCUGCUGGGAUGUAAAGUCUGCUUGAGCUAUAAACACUGUUUGGUCUGUUCCUUACUCGUCAACAAGGUAGCGGACUACAGCAUCUGCAUCAGAAAACAACUCUUGUCCUCCAACCAUCUGUUCCAAGAUAAGACCAGGAGUUCACCAGUGAUCCCUUAUAUGAUCCCUUCUCCCAAGGAUGUUUCAGCACCUCUCCAGUGGACCAAGGAGGCUAAAAUACAUAUGAGUAGUGAGGAUCCAGCUGUGGGUUCAAGCCCAUAUCAUGUUUUCAGGUCCCAGUGACAGAAGUGCACUCAGGGUUCAGGUGGAUCCCUGGGCCCCAUGCCCAGGCUGGGCUAUGCCAAACGCAGGCUCAGGUAUCACCUGCUAUCAGAGGGCCUCAGCAGCCACCUGCCUGUCCAGCAGCGGAAAGUGAUUGCUUUGGCCCUCCAGCGAUGGGCUGAGGACGUCACCUGGGCUGUCCUUUGUUGUUCGAUAGAACAGGAGGAGAGGUUGCACAUACAGCCCAGCCAGGACAGAUCCACCUGGAUGAUGAUGAAGUCUACAGUGUUUUUCUAUCCAACCAUGGGGUCAAUCUGCUGUUGGUACAGUAGGCUCUACACACUCAACGUGGCACACAUUUGUUUCUCAGUGUGAUGUGAAAUUCAGAAUGUUUAGCUUUGUGUUUUAAAUGCAGGUUUUGCUGCAUGAGACAGGACAUGUACUGGGACUGUCCCACCUCUCUUCCCCUGACUCUGUGAUGCACUCUCUGUACCCCAAUGACAGCCCUAUGGAGAUGGGUUGGGAGGACCGAAAGGCCAUACAAGGCCAUAGGUAAUGUGUACUGGGAGUAUACUGGGAGAAUACCAAACACACUAUAUAACACCCAUUUUUCUCUUCUUUCGGGCCAGUGUGAGGGUUCCUUUGACACUGUCUUUGAUUGGGUGAGGAGGGUGCCCAGUGACAACCGCAGAGGCAGACCUCGCUGAGGCGACCCCAGGAGUAGUGCAGCAGGGUUGGAAGGGGCUUCCUCAGGAUGGAGUAGAUGCCCACCUCAUGACCAUGACAGGGUCUACUUCUUUAAAGUGGCAAUCAGCAAUUGAAACAAUAACAAAGCGCCCUCCCUACCCGUUUUAGUAAAAAGCUGAGGGAUAGGGCUGGAGAAAUGUAACCACUGUCAAAUUCAUAGACAGAGCUAUCUAUGGAUUCAAGGACUGACCAUCCAUGAUGUCAAGUUAUAGUUCUAACCAUAUUUUGAGGCUAUGUAGUGUUUGCUUACAUUGACUUUGUUUGCAAACAUUGGAUUGAAACAAGCGUAUAUUUUAUCAUGAGGCAUUUCUAAGUUAUAUUCUUCAAGAAUCAAUGGGUACAUGUCAUUAAUUCAGAAGUCCAAAAAUGUAUGAAGCAACUGCAGAUUGCCCCUUUGAAGGUGAACCCUCAUAUAAUAUCACCUGACCAAGAAACAUUAAGCUUCAUUCCAAUUUACAUAAUUAAACACGGAUUGCUUGCCAUGUAGACAUUUCUGUGUGGUUUCUGUCAAAUUGAACUGUAGCAUGCAAGAUUGAAGAACAUUAUAACCUGCUGCUGUUUGUUUCUCAAGGGCAUUUUGUUCUGUUGCUCCAGUGAUUUGCAGGACUCUGAUGGGCAGCUGAUCACUCAGGGUUUCCCUGGCAUCACAGGAACCCUGGACACAGCAACAUUUCACCAG